AUGGUGAACACGGCGUCGGCCGGCGUGAACAAGUCGGCGGCGGCGGCGCAGGGGGGUCACCGGGCGCUGCCGCUGGCGUCGCUGAACCACAUCUCCGUGGUGUGCCGGUCGCUGGAGAGCUCGCUCAGCUUCUACCGCGACGUCCUCGGCUUCAUCCAGAUCCGCCGCCCGGGCUCCUUCGACUUCGACGGCGCAUGGCUAUUCAACUUCGGGAUCGGCGUGCACCUGCUGCAGGCGGAGGACCGGGCGAGCCUGCCGCCGAAGAAGGCGGAGAUCAACCCCAAGGACAAUCACAUCUCCUUCACCACGUGCGAGAGCAUGGAGGCGGUGCAGCGGCGGCUCAAGGAGCUGGGCAUCCGGUACGUGCAGCGGCGGGUGGAGGAGGGCGGCAUCCACGUCGACCAGAUCUUCUUCCACGACCCCGACGGCUUCAUGAUCGAGGUCUGCACCUGCGACAACCUCCCCGUCAUCCCGCUCGUCACGCAGCUCGACGCCGCCUGCGCGCAGCCCGCGGUCGUGGCGCCCAGCUGCAAGAGGGUCUCCAUCUCCAACCAGCACCAGCAGCUCAGCAGCAGCGUCCCGGCUGCCGUGCCCGACGUCCCGCCCACGGCGGCCCCGACGUCGCAGCAGUCCGUCGGCGGCGGCUGCGUCGGAGAGGUCGUCGACCCGGCGGCCAGCAUGUCCGCCAGCGUCAUGACGACCUGCUCGGAGCACGCCUGCAUGCAGGUGUAA
rnacentral:rRNA from 1 species